GUCCAAAACAGUUAACAGACUGCAUCUCAGCACUGUCAAGAUGGAUCUGCAUAAUAGGUGAUGAAUAGUUUUUUUGGAAGGAUAUAUUAACUUUUACUGUUGGGGAAAAGUUUUAGAUUGGUUUGUCAGUUUGUAACCCAUCAAGUUGAGGCCAAUAUAUGUAUACAUUCACAACCCUGCACCCAUCAAAUUAUCGACUUUAUGUGUGACUUUGGGACUGAUUCAUACAACCACAUUUCCUUUCUCCACUCUAUAGCAGGUUUUUAUCUGUAUCUGAAAAAAUAACCAAGAAGGAGAAGAUAAGGAAUGAGGAAUAUGUGUCCUCUGUCUUUAAGCUCUUUGCUCUCCUACUUUUAAGGCUCGCCGGGUUCUGGGAGAUGGAGGGUCUGGAAUGCUUUCUAAUGACAAGGUGUCAGCCGGGUGUUGUUCUGAGUCUCCCAUGAUUUCCCAAUUUCCCCCCUCAUCUGCCUCUGAGCUGCUACCUCCCUCAAAACCCUGUUGUAAAUCUAUACUGUCUUCCUCUUCCUCCUCCCUGGAAGGCUCAGGAUGGGGAGGAGGUCUUCACCAUUCCUCCUCUGCCCAGUCCCUGGCAAUUAGUUUUCUUUAACAGUGGAACCUUUCUUUCUCAAGAAAGGUUGGAAGGUAUGUAAUUUGAAUGGCUAUUGCUCUCUGCUGUUAGGGUGUUGUCAGCAGAUCUCAGCUAAUUGCCCAGGAAAGUAUAAAGAAAAGGAAAAGUUUCAUAUAGUCCUUUUUUAUUUCAAACUUUACACAGAGAGGCUAUAGAACCCAGACUCUUGGAUAAUGGCUUUAUCCUGAGUGAAUCUCCACCCCCCCCAUCUCUCCCACUUCCUCAUUUGUCACUUCUACGGGUGCUGCUACCUACCCUCUGUCUUCAAGCUCUUUGUUCUCCUACUUUUAAGGUUUGCUGGGUUCUGGGAGAUGGAGGGUCUGGGACGCUUUCUAGUGAGAAUGUGUCAGCCACCUACUGCUCUGGCUCUCCCAUGAUUUCCCAGCUUUCCCCCUCAUCUACCUCUGAGCUGUGACCUCCUGCAAACCCUUGUCUUCCUCUUCUUCCUCCCUGGAAGGGUCAGGAUGAGGAGGCAGUCUCCACUAUUCCUCCUCCUCUGCCCAGUCACUGACAACUACCCAUCUUCUCUGAAAUUGGGAUGGGGAUGAAAUGAUGGAGGUGAUCAGAAGUGUAGUUAAAACUGAGUUUGCGGACAAAGGCCAAAGACUUGUUGGCAGAUUCCAAGAAAGUUAUUCUAGAAUCCGUUUCAGCAAAGAUUGCCACUGAAGUUUGGGAAAAGCAAAAUUCAAAGCUAGUUGGGAGCAGGGGUUGUCCCUGAACUGAGACGUGUUCCAAGGUUGUAGUCACACCCCUUACAUACCCUCGUGUUCCUCUUGCCAGUAAAUGUUGGAGUUAUGAGUGAGUGUAUGGGGAAUAUAGGAGAUUAGAAGAGGAACUCAGCUAUGGUGAAUUUUGUUGUUGUGAUGAAUUUUUGUCUAUAGCAGCCUUUCUUAACCUGUGGGUCCCCAGAUGUUGUUGAACUACAACUCCCAUCACCACUAGCUAGCAAGGCCAGAACUCAGGGAUAAUGGGAGUUGUAGUCCAACAACAUCUGGGGACCCACAGGUUGAGAACCGCUGGUCUAUAGCUAAUGAUCGCUGUCAUGGGCACUACUUUGACUCGGUACUAUCAUCUCUAUCUUGAUAUCGCUCUCCUCUGAACUGAGUUUGCAGAGUGACAGAGGAAUGUGGCACAAAACAGAUUUCUCCCAAACUAUGCCCAUCAGCCCUCAACCCAGAAGCCAAGAUGAUCCUUCUACAUAUGCCACACAAAGGAAAAUAUUGAUGAGCCAUUCUAGAUCUUUAGCAAAAGUCAGGCAUUUUGUGGUAGAAGAAAAAGAAGGUUCUUAAGUACAUUAUUCUGAAAUAUUAACUGGAUAAUGACUAUGACAUGUGGCAGAAUGGCAAAAAUUCACAAAAAAACCUCUAGCAACUAUACCACUAUAAACUGUAAGGGAAGAAAGCCCCCUAGUUAGAGGAUUAAAACAUAUGCCAAGAUUAUUAUUUAAAAGUCUUUAUCCAUGUAAGUAUAUUGUGUUUACUUGUUGUUGUUUAGUUAUUUAGUCGUGUCCGACUCUUUGUGACCCCAUGGACCAGAGCACGCCAGGCACUCUUGUCUUCCACUGCCUCCCACAGUUUGGUCAAACUCAUGCUGGUAGCUUCGAGAACACUGUCCAACCAUCUCAUCCUCCGUCGUCCCCUUCUCCUUGUGCCCUCCAUCUUUCCCAACAUCAGGGUCUUUUCCAGGGAGUCUUCUCUUCUCAUGAGGUGGCCAAAGUAUUGGAGCCUCAGCUUCAGGUUCUGUCCUUCCAGUGAGCACUCAGGGCUGAUUUCCUUAAGAAUGGAUAGGUUUGAUCUUCUUGCAGUCCACGGGACUCUCAAGAAUCUCCUCCAGCACCAUAAUUCAAAAGCAUCAAUUGUGUUUACUACCCACUGGUAAUUUUCCUUUAUACAGUCGUUUCACAGGUCCCUUUCCAUCUUCUUGGCAUUCUUAAAUCUCUUAAAGGCAUCUUUCAUUCCCUCCAUGUCUGUCCUCUUCAGUCAGAGUUCCUCUUGGCCGGCAUCUUUCCAAAAGCAGUCGAAAAAAUUAAACAUAAACAAACAGACCACCACUCCCUGUUACUACCUUGUGGCACUGCAAUUUCCCCCUCUUUUAUUUUUUUUUGAAGGCCUCACUAAAAGCAACAUGUGCUAUAUCCACAUAAUUCUGAAUUGCUAAAAGGUAGAUCAGCCUUUAUCUUUGAUGCUGCAAGCGUUUGAUCUUUAUUAUUGCUGAUUGAAAACAGCAACAUCAAAGAUGUGUAAAUGACUAUUUCGAUCCACUUCUCAUGGUACUAAUUUUUUUUGCACUGUGUGACUGUGAGGCACAGGGAAGAGAAACCCAUAGAAGUCUUUCCACUCCUUUAAAAAGAAAAUCUUGUGUGUGGUUAUCAGGUUCUAUUCCAUAGAAUCAUAAAAUUGUAGCGUUAAAAGGGACUACAGAGGUCAUUUUAGUACAACUCCCUGCAAUGCAGAAACUUUUUAUCCAGUGUGGGAUCUCAUGCCCUACAGACUAAGCUAUCAGAUCUGUCCAAUCAGCUAAGAGCUAUGAGCGAAGACUUCAGAUGAACAUCUGGUCAGGAGACGAGAUGCAUUGCUUUGGGACCAAGCAUAAUCCAAAUCUUCCAUCUUCAGAAUUGGAAGCCCCAUCUUUCAAUCUGGUGGAAUGCUCUCCCACAAGAGACCAGGGCCCUGCGGGAUUUAACAUCUUUCCGCAGGGCCUGCAAGAAGGAGCUGUUCCGCCAGGCCUUUGGGCAGGAUGCAGUUUGACUUACUUUCCUUUGUAUAAAACAAGCCCGAAGGAGGCCCCCAACCUGCUCACAGGUCGUUGUGGAAACAGUUGGCCCUGGCAAGCAUUAACCACUCUCAAUUCCAACCUGAUAAUUGCCACCUGCCCAAAUUUUAACUUGUCUGAAUUAAUGUUAAGAUGUAUUUUAAUUAAUUGAUGUCUGUUUUUAUGCAUAUUGUGUUGUUUUUAUGAUAUUAGCCGCUCUGAGUCCGGCCUUGGCCAGGGAGGGCAGGAUACAAAUAAAUGAAAUUAUUAUUAUUAUUAUUAUUAUUAUUAUUAUUAUUAUUAUUGCCUUUUUCUGUGGUUAGUGUUUUGGGGGAAUGUAUUCUGUACAUGUUUGGAUGCACUUUCUUCUACAGUCAAACUGCAUGUUCACAAUCUUCUAACACACAUUGCUGGCUCCAACCUCCACGAUUUUCAGCUGCAAUGAAGAACGAAGUACAUGGUCUAUAAAUGGCUUGGUCACAUAAACCUACCUACAAUAAUAGUUCCUUGAUAGGAAGCUGAUCUUUCUGUACUGUAACUUCAGUACAGCCCCCGUAGCAUAGGACUGUAAGAACAUAAGUAGAGCAUCUGUUGGUCAGACCAAAGGCUUAUCUGUUCCAGAAUCGUUUUCACAGUGGGAAAAGAGGCCUAUGGGAAGCUUGCAUGCAGGACCAGAACACAAUAGCACUCUAUCCAACUUUGAUACCCAGCAUCUGGACCCAAGAGACCUGGAAAAAUAGCAGCAGAAAAAUAUGGAACCAUACAUGGAUCCACAGUAUGCAACUGAGCAAAAUAAUAUCUCCAUGUAGUUGCUUAGAUCUGAGUUGGAAACCAGCUCCCCGAAGAGCACAUCCUCAGGACUCCUGCUAACUUCCAUUGCAUGGUUUACAGGAGUGUAAACAUGCAGGGAAUGUGGUGUUGGAAGAGCACAUCUUUGUUUGAGAUUCUGUCCUGUUAUGUGAUACCCAGAGUCUUCCUGAUGUGGAAGGCAUUGAGGUGGAAGGCAAUGAGGUGUUGCUCUUGACGGCUGGAAGUUGCUCACAACGUAAAUACAUAAAGCAGUGUGCUCAACAUGCAAGCCUGGUUAAAAAAAAAAAGCAAUCUGGGUAGACCUUCAUCUUGGUAUUGGUCAUUAGCAUCGCAUAUACUGAACAACAGUGAAGUAAGUGCUUGCUUAAACUAUACUAGAAUUCAGAAUCAAACAUGGCAAUUGAAGGCACUUAUAUAAAAUUGUCCAAUCUGAAUUAUAAUAGUAGCACAAUAGCACAAACAUAUCAAAGAGUUCUGGUGCUGACGUACUGAAGCAUACAUAAUCUGCAAUUGAAAAAUGCUCAGAAGUCUGGAAGUUCUUCACUUUUUAAAUAUCUCCUGAUUCUUUUCGGAGAACAAUUUCAAGUUGAUAUGGCACUUCCAUACACGAUCGUUGUAAUGGCUGGUUUUGUUGUGAUACAGAGCUUUGCAUUUGAACUAGCAGAUGGGUUUAAACUCACUUUGAAAAUUGGGAUUAAAACCUGAGUCUCAUUCUGUGAAGGGGGCACAUGUCUCCAAGCCACUUGGGCAGGGGGGAAUAUGCAUUAGACAUGCACCAUUAAUGGCUGCACCUCCCUGCCCAAGUCCGCAGAGCAUAGGAAACAUGCUCUGUAGUUGUGUUAUGGUUCAAUGUCCCCACACACUCAGUCCCACAUUGCGUGAGAUGAUCUGAAGGGGCUUCUAAGAUCAUUUGACUGAUUGUGCUUGGAAGCAUCUGCCCAGUCAGGUAUCCUGAUAGGACUGGGUAGCUAAACAAGCUUCAAUUCUCUAGGGUUGCCAUAUUCCCCAAAGUGAAAAUCCAGACAUUUUGCUGAUUCAACACAAAAAAUCUGCUCGGCUGCCAUUUCGCAGACUGCUCAUUGUGCAUGCAAGGACCAGUGUCCACAGAGACAAUGUGGGCACACCACAAUUUCCCUUACCUGUUCUCUAUUUAAGCAUAAUGCUAGCACAGGACUUCAGCAACUCUGGAUUGUUUUCAGUGUAACAUUAAGGGAAAUAGUCCAUCAGCACAAGAAUUUAUCAUUGUGCAAUGGAAUGUUCUCUCCCUCUUCUCCCACUGUGUGCCCCUUAAAUCUGUUCUGUGGUUUUCCCCAAACUCCAGAGCAGAUUUGGGGAUGAUGUGGGGCACAUGGAGUGGAGGGAAAGUUCCAUUGCACUAGCAGUAAUCCUUGCACAAGUGAAAUUAUUUAGGUGAAACCCACCCUCUGUGGGGACAUUUAUUUGAUUUGUCAGUAGGUAUCACAAGAGCUGAGAUUUUUUGGCAGAAUUCUGAUUUUGCCACCCAAUGCUAAACUGAAAUUUUGAGCACAUACAAAUUAACAAAGCUAGCUCAAAACUACCUUCCUCACCCUGAGAUCUCUUGGCCCUCCAAGUGUCAUAGCUGUCAACUUUUCCCUUUUCUUGCGAGGAAUCCUACUCGGAAUAAGGGAAUUUCCAUUAAAAAAGGGGAAACGUUGACAGCUAUGCCAAGUGUGUGAGAUCUAUGUACAGUGGUACCUCGGGUUAAGUACUUAAUUCAUUCCGGAGGUCCAUUCUUAACCUGAAUCUGUUCUUAACCUGAAGCACCACUUUAGCUAAUGGGGCCUCCCGCUGCCGCCGGGCCGCCAGAGCACAAUUUCUGUUCUCAUCCUGAAGCAAAGUUCUUAACCCGAGGCACUAUUUCUGGGUUAGCGGAGUCCGUAACCUGAAGCGUAUGUAACCUGAGGUACUACUGUAUGUGAUAAAGUGGCCAUCUGCAUGGGCUUUUGUGCAUUUUCAGAAGUGGAAAACAAAAAUAUUUACAGUUAUGGGAUGGAAAUGAAGUAACAGAUCUCAAUCCUAAAAUACCAAAAUAGCUGUUUCAGAUUCGAAUCACAAACUAUGAGGGGGCUGUAGCUUGUCUAUGAUCAUAACAGUGACCUAGGGUGGAUCUACACACAGGGGAAAAAACGCUAUAAAUAAGUCUGGAAUUAGAUCAUUAUAACAAUUUAAAAACAAAACAAAAAAACCCUAUGGAAAAACGUGUAUAAAAAUUCCCUGCUCACUGUUGCCAUCUGGUGUUGCAAGUUUAUAGCACAUUCAAUAGCUGUUGUUUUUGCUAAUGUAGCUGAAUCCAUAGUGUCGAGGCUCUGCUACCCACUGAGUGGAUCACAGAAUAUACAGCCCUCAACAAUAUUUUUCACCAAAACAAUUGCUAAUAUAAGGCAAGGGGCACAUUUCUGGAACUCUGCUAAAAUCCUUCGGCUUUGUACUAAUUAAAAAAAUAGUGAAAGUUAUUCUGAGUAUUCUGACAGUGAAUCUAACCCAGCAAAUAUGGCAUGUGGCAAAGGCAGCAAAAGGUCUGAAGGCCAAAAAACCCCCUGUAGACUCUGAUGCAUACAUUGAAAAAAUUAGAGCAGUCUUGGCCGCUGACUGGUCAGCAGCCUUAAAGCCCAUUAGAAGAAAAGCAAACUAUAAGUGUAAUCCAAAAUCAAGCAUUUCAAAACCUUAUAGAUUUCAAUGGGAUGGAGCUGAGGACACGCUUAACUCUCCCAGUGAAACCAGGGUCACUUAAAGCAUGUUUAACUUCGACUGGCUAAGACAGAACAUUUCACUUUUUCUCUAGGAGGUACAAGUUCUGUUAAUCUCUAAAAUAAUUAAUACAUGUGCUAAGCUUCCUGGCAUGAUCCAACAUUCAAUUUGGUUGAAAAGAGUGAAAAAGUGAUAUGGUAGCAAAAUGUCCCUAUCCUGUCGGUAUGGGUGGCACAAAUGACAUCCAUGAAAGGUUUAAUUUGCAUUAUAAUGAAACUUUUUCCUGCCUGCCUAAAAAUCAUAUUAUACAUGUGGAAUACAUCCGUCAAAGACAACCUGAGCACCUAUAAAUUGUAACCUUAAGUUCUGCUUUGGAGAAUUGCCUUUGGUUAAGACAGAAAUGGGCAAUCACUGUAGUUGUCUAAAAUAUCCGAAUCAAGCAAUCUGUUGAUUUAAAUAAUUAUUGUUUACCACCAUACUUAAAAAUCCUAUUGAUGUAACUGCGACAAAGAUUGCUCAUUGAUGCUGAAAAUUGCAUUAGCAAGGUCCUUUCAUACACCGAAAACAAAACAGCCCAUAGAUUUUAUUCUUGGUGUGAUGAUAGUGAUAGGCUUGAUUCAGACUUGGCGGCAUGGUAUUUUGUUCCCAUAUGAUAGAGUUGGGCGGCGGGAUGACCAUGAUUAUUAUUUUUUAAGCAAACUCCAUCUAUAUGUGAAAACAUACGAAAAACGAUUGAAUCAAUCUUGCUAGGCACAAAGACACUAUAAAUCAAUGUACCAGUGAUAUGUCGGCGUCUUCUUCGGUGAUCACUAGUAGCCGAGUAAGAUUGUCUUCCAUGAACACUGUCUUAGCAGUGAGUCCGUAAGUGACUAUGGAGGCCAAUUCUGGAUCCCCACGUCCUUCCACAGUGGGGACAUAGUUUUCUGGGCAGGAGUUGAUCAUGGUGAGGGUUUGCCAAAUGUGCCUUCCUCUUAGCUCAUUUCUCCUUUUCACCCAUGACUCCUUUGGUAAAGGCUGUUCUCCAACUGGAGCGCUCACAGGCCAAUGUUUCCCAGUUGUCGGUGUUUAUACUACAUCUUUAAAGAUUUGCUUUGAGAAAGUCUUUAAACCUCUUUUGUUGACCACCAGCCUUAUGCUUUCCAUUCUUGAGUUGGGAAUAGAGUAGUUGCUUUGGAAGACGAUAAUCAGGCAUCCAAACAACAUGACCAGUCAAAUGAAGUUGAUGUUGAAGAAUCAUUGCUUCAACACUGGUGAUGUUUGGUUCUUCCAGUACACUGGCAUUAGUUCGCUUGUCUUUCCAAGUGAUGUGUAAAAAUUUUUGGAGUCAUCGUUGGUGGAAUCUUUCGAGGAUUUGGAGAUGGUGUUUACCAGUGAUAUGUAGGCACACUGCUUACAAACCCAUAAAGUGCUAAUAUCAGAGUCAACAUGAGUGGAACUCUAAAAUAUUGAAAUGGAAAAUUCAGCCUCUGAGCUCAGGGAGGAGGAUGAGCUGGAGCUUGUCCCAAGUGGUGGUGGAGGCUACGAGGGAGCAUCCUGUUGCUAUCCAUGACUUGUCUAUGGCCGCUGCUGCCAGCCUUCUUCCUUGGACAGCUUGCAGUGGAUUCUGGAGAGCAGGUAAGGAGGAGGAGAGGCUGCCACACCAAGGCCCAGCUCCAUAUGAUGCACCAGCUCUGAUGGACAGGCAGAGGGCAGGGCCACCCUGGGCAGAAGGAAAGAGGGAGUGUAGACCAAGGAGUCUUGUGUGUGUGUGUAUGUAAAGGUAUAUGGACCCCUGACCAUUAGGUCCAGUCGUGGCCGACUCUGGGGUUGUGGCGCUCAUCUUGCUUUACUGGCCAAGGGAGCCGGUGUACAGCUUCCGGGUCAUGUGGCCAGCAUGACUAAGCUGCUUCUGGCAAACCAGAGCAGCGCACGGAAAUGCCGUUUACCUUCCCGCCAGAGUGGUACCUAUUUAUCUACUUGCACUUUGACAUGCUUUUGAACUGCUAGGUUGGCAGGAGCAGAGACCAAGCAACGGGAGCUCACCCCAUCACGGGGAUUCGAACCGCCGACCUUCUGAUCAGCAAGUCCUAAGCUCUGUGGUUUAACCCACAGUGCCACCUGUGUCCCAUAUAUGUGUGUGUGUGUGUGUGUGUGUGUGUGUUGUGCAUCCAUGCUUUGUUCAAUCUUGCCCCUUUCUAAAAUAUAUUUUUUGGUGUGUGUUUUUCUUUUUGUAAAUCUGCCAAAGAAUAAGAUAAAAUAAAAUCAGGAUUAAGGUGUUUUCUCAGGACAAUGGAGGGUAUGGGUCUCAUUGAUGGUGAUGGCACUCACCCUUCUUCUGAUAGGAAAUGCUCUGCAGGAGGGGGACAAAAAUGAAGGCUCAAGGAAGGUCAGUUGGGGGGGGAUGUCCCUAUUUUCAUCUGAAGACUGUUGGAGGGAAUGCCAUUACCAUUUCCAUGUUUCCAUGGCAUGUAGUUGGAAUGGCUUCGAAGUAGGAAUGGCUUCAAAGGCAGUUGAUCAGGACUCAGUUUUUGGCUUUUACAGGAAUCGCCGCAAGGUCCUGCUUUUGUGAUGGAAGAAUCAGUGCCACAAUAGCAGGUUUUGUUGCCAAAUUAUGCCGCACAUCUCACUAGUUAACUUAAUUAGUAACAGAACAGCUGAGACGUAGCUUGACCAAAUCCACCAAACAAAUUUAUAUGUGCAUGUUUGGCAGAUGGGAAUUGCACGUGAAAUCCUCCCUGGCAGUCUAGGGACAAAAGAUAAUAUUUGUUUUUCUUCUGGAAAAUCAAGACAAGCCUUCAUGUGGGAAGAUAAUCCCCUUGAUUCUGGCUCGGAGGGUGGCUUGUCUGCCUCUUUGCCUUGGGAGCUGUAUUCUGCAAAACCCAUGUGUGAUGCAGACGUCCAGACGGACUUAAGAUAGCCAUUUCUUGGCCUCCUCCUCUUCAUUAAGAGCACUGAAUGCAAAUGAAUUAAUUAGCACAUUCCAGUGAAUGAACUUCAUUUAUCAGGAGGAAGAAAAACGGCCGAGUGAUAAUCAAAUGGUUUAAGAGUUAAUUGAAUACAGAAAUCCUGGAUGCAAAUGAUGUGAGCUCAACUUGGCUUAACAGGCAUCUUAAGUUUUAGCUAUGCUGCUGCAGUUUUUUUUGGUCUCCUGUUGAAAGAGGGGGUGUUAAGAGGGAGGGAGAAGAACGUUUGCCGGGGAGGGUGUGUGUCAAAUUUUGUUCCUUUCUAGAUCUCAGCAAUCCAGCAGGAUUAGUCUGCCACUCAGGUUCUUUAAGAUAAAUAUGACCUAACAGCCCUAAAUUUGCAUUUCAAAGUGUAAUUUUGUCCAAUCAUAUUCGUAAGUGGUAUACUUGAUUGCGGUGAUACUGUAGGUUAUGAUAACUGGCUGCCCAGUUCAGGUCUUGGGAUAUAACAAUGCUCUCAUUGCUACACUACAGAAAGACAUACAGCAAUGUUCACUGUGUGUUAUCUUGCCAAAUGAACUAGCCAAACAUAAAGAAAUAAAAACAACUCAGUCUAUAAUAUCAUUACAUAAACCACAUGAGUUGAUGGAGGAAGCCGGUCAUACUCUUUGAUUGAAACAGUUUAUUUAGUAAAAUAAAGUUGACAAUUGACAAGCAAGUCUUUCCAUAAAACCAAAUCUGAGAAUUCCACUCCGUCUAAUUAGCUGUUACUAAUUUCAGGCUGCAACCAAAGAGGCCAUAAUGAAAAAAGGGAAGCAGUGAGCUCAUAAAGUAUCUUUUCGUUUCCAUCUUCAAAAAGGAGCAACAAUGCAAUAAGUGGAUCUGUGUCAACAGCUGCCCUAUUGGAGCUCAUGAAAACCUUCCUCCAAAAACUCAUCAAUUGCUAGGCAGCUCCACACUAUAUAUAUUAAAGGUAAAGGGACCCCUGACCAUUAGGUCCAGUCGUGACCGACUCAGGGGUUGCGGCGCUCAUCUCGCUUUAUUGGCCGAGAGAGCCAACGUACUGCUUCCGGGUCAUGUGGCCAGCAUGACUAAGCCGCUUCUGGCAAACCAGAGCAGCCCAUGGAAAUGCCGUUUACCUUCCCACCGGAGCAGUACCUAUUUAUCUACUUGUACUUUGACAUGCUUUCAAACUGCUAGGUUGACAGGAGCAGGGACCUAGCAACGGGAGCUCACCCCAUCAUGGGGAUUCGAACCGCCAACCUUCUGAUCGGCAAGUCCUAGGCUCUGUGGUUUAACCCACAGUGCCACCCGCGUCCGUCUAAUUAGCUGUUACUAAUUUCCAAUUUCAGGCUGCAACCAAAGAGGCCACAAUGAAAAAAGGGAAGCAGUGAGCUCAUAAAGUAUCUUUUCGUCUCCAUCUUCAACAAGGGGCAACAGUGCCAUAAGUGGAUAAGUGUCAACAGCUGCCCCAUUGGAGCUCAUGAAAACCUUCCUCCAAAAACUCAUCCAUUGCUAGGCAAGUCCACACUAUAUAUUUUAGUCCCCCAUAUACCUUCCAACAAUUUGGGUUGGCACUAUGAGUUAUCCUGCUCAGAGUGUGAGGAGUCAGAUGCCACCCGUCAAUCAAAAUAAAGCAACUCUCUUUAAAUCUUGCUGAAGAGGAAUGAAAUAGAGCUUUCUCACUCUUCCCUCCACCUGACAUCAUUGACCUGGAUGCUGUUGUGGUGUGUUCACAGAUGCAGACAUGCAUACCGACUGAGAUCCAGAAAACUGCAUUCUUUGUCUCUCUGAAAGCAUUCCUCCUGUGUCCAAUUAUCUUUUUAAAAAUUAUUAUUCUCUUGGUUCUGGCGUUUCUUCCUUGCAUCAUCUAGUCUCUUGCUCAUGUUCUCAGUAGGCGAUGCUACAGAAGCAAUAUGCAUCCAGGCAGCUACCAGUAAUGGGACUAAAGGGUUAAGAAAGGAAGAGGAGAAAUCCAAAUGCUGUUAAGAACUAAUCUGAGGGGAGGUUACCUCUUCAAGGCAAUUUUCUCACUAUGGCAACCACAAACACAUCCCCACCUCUGACACCAGUACAUGCCACCGAACUAGUGGUAGCAAAAAUUGUUACUUUAGGCAAGACUUCUGUAUAUUUGCCUGCUAUCUGGCAACUUCCCAGCCUCCUUAAUUCAGUGGCUUCUCUCUUGUUUGCCCAUGUCACUGGAUCUUGCCGUAGCAGUGAUACCCCGACUUUUCUUUGUUUUCCCACAGUGGAGUACUGGCUUGCCGGCAGUAUAUUUUGAGAGACACACAGUGC